GAUGAACGCUAGCGGCAGGCUUAAUACAUGCAAGUCGAGGGGCGAGCGCAGUGUAGCAAUACAUGGGCGGCGACCGGCAAACGGGUGCGGAACACGUACGCAAUCUACCCAAAACUGNUGAAUAGCCCUCCGAAAGGAGGAUUAAUACAUCGUAACUUAAUGAAGUGGCAUCGCUUUAUUAAUAUAGCUCCGGCGGUUUUGGAUGAGCGUGCGCCUGAUUAGGAGUUGGCGGGGUAACGGCCCACCAAGCCUGCGAUCAGUAACUGGUGGUGAGAGCACGACCAGUCACACGGGCACU
rnacentral:rRNA from 1 species